GACGAACGCUGGCGGCGUGCCUAACACAUGCAAGUCGAGCGAAUGAAGUUCCUUCGGGAACGGAUUUAGCGGCGGACGGGUGAGUAACACGUGGGCAACCUGCCUCAUAGAGGGGAGUAGCCUUCCGAAAGGGAGAUUAAUACCGCAUAAGAUUGUAGUACCGCAUGGUACAGCAAUUAAAGGAGCAAUCCGCUAUGAGAUGGGCCCGCGGCGCAUUAGCUAGUUGGUGAGGUAACGGCUCACCAAGGCGACGAUGCGUAGCCGACCUGAGAGGGUGAUCGGCCACAUUGGGACUGAGACACGGCCCAGACUCCUACGGGAGGCAGCAGUGGGGAAUAUUGCACAAUGGGGGAAACCCUGAUGCAGCAACGCCGCGUGAGUGAUGACGGCCUUCGGGUUGUAAAGCUCUGUCUUCAGGGACGAUAAUGACGGUACCUGAGGAGGAAGCCAUGGCUAACUACGUGCCAGCAGCCGCGGUAAGAC
rnacentral:rRNA from 1 species